AUGCGUCCUCACCAACAACGUCCCUGGAACACCAAUCUACCACCGAUGUGGGCUACGGCAGGGGACCCUGUAUCCCCUAUGCUCUUUGUCAUGGUGAUUGACACCCUCAACAACCUCAUUUGUCGGGCGGCCAGCAAGGGGAUGCUGCAACGCCUCACUGCGCGUCACAUGUCCUCGAGUGUCUUCAUCUACGCCGGCGAUGUCGUCGUCUUCAGCCGACCUGAUAGGCAAGAACUGACUGCCGUCUGCGAGCUUCCACGGGUCUUCGGGGCCGCCUCGAGGCUGCACACCAAGUUCGCUAAGUGCACGGCAUCCCCUAUCCAGUGUGCGGCCGCGGACCGGGCCAUGAUCACCGAGAACUUCGCCUGA
rnacentral:rRNA from 1 species